rnacentral:rRNA from 1 species
CCUACGGGAGGCAGCAGUGGGGAAUAUUGCACAAUGGGGGAAACCCUGAAGCAGCGACGCCGCGUGAGUGAAGACGGAUUUCGGUAUGUAAAGCUCUAUCAGUAGGGAAGAUAAUGACGGUAUCUGAGGAAUAAGCCCCGGCUAACUCCGUGCCAGCAGCCGCGGUAAUACGUAGGGGGCAAGCGUUAUUCGGAAUUACUGGGUGUAAAGGGAGCGUAGACGGGAGAGCAAGUCUGAUGUGAAAUGCUGGGGCUCAACCACCGCACUGCAUUUGAAACUGUUCGGCUAGAGUGCGGGAGAGGUAAGUGGAAUUCCUGGUGUAGCGGUGAAAUGCGUAGAGAUUAGGAGGAACAC